rnacentral:rRNA from 1 species
AUCAAACGGAGAGUUUGAUCCUGGCUCAGGACGAACGCUGGCGGCGUGCCUAACACAUGCAAGUCGAACGAAAU